UGUUUCAUAAUAAUAUUUGCCGUGUGACUCCUGCCGUGUUAAUCGAUGUGUUUUAGCAAUCUAUUGAGUCAAUCUUGAGCGUGUUGCCACUACAUCACUACCUAAUUGAACACGUAAAGUUGCCUCCACGCGUGCUUCAUGCUUAAAAAAAUAAAUAAAUAAAAUACCACCAGCCGUACCGCUUCGUGUAGGCAUCAUCGUACCUCCGUAUAAACUAGAUGGCGCUGGCGGCGGCGGUGGCCGAUGGUGAUAGUAGUGGUAUGCUCAACGCUUCCGGCAUGUUAGGGUGGCUCAGGGUAAUUUUGUGAUCGUGGGACGCUUUCUGAAGCCAUCGGAGCAUUGGGGCAGUGGGCAGGGGUGGCAAGGAGACUACACGGCAACAGGUGACGGAGGGUAGGCGGUGGUUGUGGUGGUGUUUGUUGUGGUGGCGGCGACCUUGGUCCUGCUUAGGGCUGCUGGAAUAUUAGUCUACCGCCGGGAAUAGUGACUCCGCCUCCCACUCCUGCAGCGCCCUCAGAUGGCGUUCGUGAUCCUUCCGCGUCGAAGAUUGUUCAUCAUUCCGGUGUUGGCCCCUCGCGACUGCCCUAUUAACACUCUAUAAUAAUGCCUGACACGUGUGAUGGGUAGUCGCUGUGCUGUUUGCUGGCUUUACUUCACCGCAGUAUCAUUGUUAUGAUGCAUGUCGCUACUUCCCGGUUCAAACCAAGAGAGAUAAGAAUGAUUAGCUGAGGGACAACACCAUUGCUCUCCUUGCUUCAUCAGCUGUUAGCCCAAGCUGCAUUUUUUACUCCACCACUUUCCACUCAGUGCCUGGUGACGUUGAGAGUAAGGUGCCAGUGACAGGAAGGAGUGGUUGUGGUGGUGACGGCUAGUGCAAGAUGCGGAUGGACUUGCCUGUCACUUGGAGGAACUCGUCAUCUUGAAGGUCCCUCAGUGCGUCCUCAAACAUCUCUCGCGUAAUCAUCUGUGGAAAGAAGUGUUUGACUGCUAAUGAAAAAUUAAUCAUGAAAAAAAACAUCAAGGAGUUCAAGGAUGGAACUCACCAGGUCCGAGGACUCCUUCAUGUCUUGGAACAGUUUCUGGCCAUUGAGGGUGAGCACCUUGCCCUUGGCUUGAAUCAGCUUGCGCAGCGCCUGGGCCAACUCCAUCCUCUUCUUGCGUGCCGCCGAGCUCAAACCGGUGAUGAGGAUGCUGACGUCUAUCUUGCCAGACAGUGGAUCAGUGGCGGACUGUUUGAGAGCCUCGCGAUGGAGUCUGGGGUUUGGGAGGGGUUAAUUGCAAUUCUAUAGUUUGAGUUGAUGAACCAUGUUAGCUUCUUAUAUAAUACUGAAUGCCUUGUGUAUUGUUACUUGUGGUCUCAAUUCUAACCACCAAUGCCUACAAUCAGUCAAUCAGCAAAACUGUUUGUAAAAGUACAUCCCAAUGUUUUGUUGCACAAAUUCCAUACAGUGCAUUAAGAAAUGUGUGGUUUUCCAUUUAUAUGGUAAACUAUAUGUUCUCAUUAUUCUGUUUGUAAGAAAGCUGCAUUUUAUGUUUACAUUGAAUUAAGAAGUGAGCAUAUGAGCAAUAGAAAGAGUCGAUAUAC